rnacentral:rRNA from 1 species
UACGUAGGGUGCGAGCGUUGUCCGGAAUUACUGGGCGUAAAGGGCUCGUAGGUGGCCAACUAAGUCAGACGUGAAAUCCCCUCGGCUUAACCGGGGAACUGCGUCUGAUACUGGAUGGCUUGAGUUCGGGAGAGGGAUGCGGAAUUCCAGGUGUAGCGGUGAAAUGCGUAGAUAUCUGGAGGAACACCGGUGGCGAAGGCGGCAUCCUGGACCGACACUGACACUGAGGAGCGAAAGCCAGGGGAGCAAACGGG